rnacentral:rRNA from 1 species
UGUGAUCUCAAAUCAGGUAGGACUACCCGCUGAACUUAAGCAUAUCAAUAAGCGGAGGAAAAGAAACUAACAAGGAUUCCCCUAGUAACUGCGAGUGAAGCGGGAAAAGCUCAAAUUUAAAAUCUGACAAGUCUUUUGACUGUCCGAGUUGUAAUCUAGAGAAGUGCUUUCCGCGYUGGACUGUGUACAAGUCU